rnacentral:rRNA from 1 species
GUGGGGAAUAUUGGACAAUGGGCGAAAGCCUGAUCCAGCCAUGCCGCGUGUGUGAAGAAGGUCUUCGGAUUGUAAAGCACUUUAAGUUGGGAGGAAGGGCAGUAAGUUAAUACCUUGCUGUUUUGACGUUACCGACAGAAUAAGCACCGGCUAACUUCGUGCCAGCAGCCGCGGUAAUACGAAGGGUGCAAGCGUUAAUCGGAAUUACUGGGCGUAAAGCGCGCGUAGGUGGUUUUGUAAGUUGGAGGUGAAAUCCCCGGGCUCAACCUGGGAACUGCCUCCAAAACUGCAUGACUAGAGUACGGUAGAGGGUAGUGGAAUUUCCUGUGUAGCGUUGAAAUGCGUAGAUAUAGGAAGGAACACCAGUGGCGAAGGCGACUACCUGGACUGAUACUGACACUGAGGUGCGAAAGCGUGGGGAGCAAACAGGAUUAGAUACCCUUGUAGUCC